CGCUCCCGCCGCCCCCUCACGCCGCCGAGGCCCCGCGCUCCCGCUGUUCCAAGGUUUCCUCAGCAAAGCCUGCCCCGGGAGCGGCUGCCGCUGCAGUGCCCGCUCCGUGUCUGCAGCUCCUUCCUCGCUGUGUCCCACACCCGCCCUGCUGCGGUUUGCUCGCUGUUACACCGAUCUCACAUAAAGGCGAGGGCGAAGGUGUGCGGAGCUCCAGGCUGGAGCCUCGCCCCGGUCCCUGGGAAGGCGGCGGAGCCAGUAACCCCUGGAGCCGUUUGCAAACACAGCGACGACACGGAGAUGUCUGGGAUCUGUCAGCACAGGUUGCAAAGGGCUUCCAUCCCUGAUGCCUUCUGCGUGGAAAGUACUAGAACGGUAGAUUCAGAUUAGAGGGAGCGUGCAAAGAAGAAGGAGCCAGGUUCUUCCCAGUGGUGCCCAGUGCCAGGAGCAGAGGCCAUGGGCACACUCUGAUCCACAUCAGGAAAUAGCUUUUCCCUGUGAUGGUAACCAGAGGCUGGCUCAGGUUUCCCGGGGUGGCUGUGGAGUCUCCAACCUUGGAGGUGUUCAAAACCAGCUGGGAUUUUCUGAACAGCCAGCAUUAGCUGCCCCAGCUCGAGGCUGGACCAGAUGACCUCAGGAGUUCUUUUCCAACUUCAAGAUUCUGAGAUGCUGUGAAGCAUUUUGUAUCAAGGUGUGGAUAUGCGCACUCCUAUCAUAAUAAAUAAACAGUAUUUCUUGA